GAUGAACGCUGGCGGCGUGCCUAAUACAUGCAAGUCGAGCGAACGGACGAGAAGCUUGCUUCUCUGAUGUUAGCGGCGGACGGGUGAGUAACACGUGGAUAACCUACCUAUAAGACUGGGAUAACUUCGGGAAACCGGAGCUAAUACCGGAUGAUAUUUUGAACCGCAUGGUUCAAAAGUGAAAGACGGUCUUGCUGUCACUUAUAGAUGGAUCCGCGCUGCAUUAGCUAGUUGGUAAGGUAACGGCUUACCAAGGCAACGAUGCAUAGCCGACCUGAGAGGGUGAUCGGCCACACUGGAACUGAGACACGGUCCAGACUCCUACGGGAGGCAGCAGUAGGGAAUCUUCCGCAAUGGGCGAAAGCCUGACGGAGCAACGCCGCGUGAGUGAUGAAGGUCUUCGGAUCGUAAAACUCUGUUAUUAGGGAAAAACAUAUGUGUAAGUAACUGUGCACAUCUUGACGUUACCUAAUCAGAAAGCCACGGCUAACUACGUG
rnacentral:rRNA from 1 species